rnacentral:rRNA from 1 species
UACGUAGGUGACGAGCGUUAUCCGGAAUUAUUGGGCGUAAAGCGCACGCAGGCGGCUUUUCAAGUCUGACGUGAAAUCGCUCGGCUUAACCGGGCGCGGUCGUUGGAAACUGAAGGGCUUGAGGCAAGGAGAGGGGUGUGGAAUUCCCGGUGUAGUGGUGGAAUGCGUAGAGAUCGGGAGGAACAUCAGUGGCGCAAGCGGCACCCUGGCCUUGGCCUGACGCUCAGGUGCGAAAGCGUGGGGAGCGAACGGG